AGAGUUUGAUCCUGGCUCAGGAUGAACGCUAGCUACAGGCUUAACACAUGCAAGUCGAGGGGAAACGACAUCGAAAGCUUGCUUUUGAUGGUCGUCGACCGGCGCACGGGUGAGUAACGCGUAUCCAACCUGCCCAUCACUUGGGGAUAACCUUGCGAAAGUAAGACUAAUACCCAAUGAUAUCUCUAGAAGACAUCUGAAAGAGAUUAAAGAUUUAUCGGUGAUGGAUGGGGAUGCGUCUGAUUAGCUUGUUGGCGGGGUAACGGCCCACCAAGGCAACGAUCAGUAGGGGUUCUGAGAGGAACGGUCCCCCACAUUGGAACUGAGACACGGUACCAACUCCUACGGAGGCAGCA
rnacentral:rRNA from 1 species